GUUGCGGAAAAAUUCUUGGAAGGUCAACUUCCACGAUCGCUUUAUUUCUAUCAAUCAUGCUGUCGUGUAAUUCUAUAAUUUUGGAAUAUUGUUGAAGCUUUAAAGGGCUUAUUUUUUUAGCUUUAAGAAGCAAUCUUAUUUCCAUUUUCCUAAUCGACACUUUAAUAUUCCUUGCACACGAUUUGUAGAUAUACACGAUGUAGUUUGAUGUAACGAAUACGAUAAGCAAAAGUAAUAAUUUUAAUACGUAGAAAUAGAUGGCUAUUAAAUAUAAGAUAAACUAGCAAAAUUUAUACUUGACAGAUACAAAACGUAAUAAAGAUAGUAAUAUGUAAACGACAAUAAUAAUUAACGCUAAAACGAUUCUCACUCUAAAUCGCGCUCUACUCACGUUUCACGCUGUUAUUGUUCUAAGCUAUCGCCUGUAACUUACCAAUGUUUUUUUUUUUUUGUGGUGAAUUUACACGUUUAUCUUAAUGUUUCUUUUGGUGCUUUUGGUGGACAAUAUGAAGGAUAUAACGAUAGGUAUUACUUCGUCGAUAAUUUUAACGAUUUUUUUCGGUAUAAAUAACGGUGUCGCGGACGAUUUCGACAAACAGAGGAAGAUUGCACAAGUUACAUACGUAGCAAUAACAGACAUCAAGAACCAUGGCAGCCAUGAGAUUCUUACUUUGCGUUGCAGUCAUUUUUAUGAUUGCCUUUAUUUCUGUGACCAAUGCGAACCCAGAACCUAAUCCUUCGCCAGAGGCGGAUCCGGAAGCACUUAACCUAAAGAAAAUCUUAGGAAAAAUAGGAGUAAUGUUGUCUCACUUGAAUUAACCGACCUCAACGGUACGUGUAUGACGGGUGCAGGCAGGACUACCGGCUUUUAAUUCUGACGAGUUUAUAUGCAUAUAUGUAUACGUAACUAAUUCGAAACAUGUAAAAAUUGGCCAUAUAAAUUUUUUGUUGCUUAACUAGA